ensembl:lncRNA
AUGCAGGAAAUGAUUGCAGAAGACGGAAUGUGUCACGACAUUCCAGGGAAAACAGUUCAGGCCGGAGACCGGGACGCUUUCCUCCUGGGGGGGGGGGGGGGAGGGGCUUUCGUUCCUGCAGCUGGCGAGCAGCUUGAGCUGGAACCAAGUGUUCAAGAGCUUUCGGGAGUUCUCUGCCAGCACAUCUGGCCGGAGCCAUCAGCGAAACCCGCGGAGAAGCGCAUUUCACGUCUGCACUGCGGGAGUUGGGGGGGUGGUCUUCUGCCUCCGCGAGCCCAGCUGCCUUCAGGAAGCCUCCACACAGCACCUGCUCGGUGCCCUUCACCCCGGCGCCCCCAAGCCCAAGGCGUCGGCCCCUGCGGGGCACUCGGAAAGGGCGUAUGCCAUCUCUUCUUGCUACCUGGGCUACCUGAACAAGCCCCCUCCGAUGACAUAACUUCUGAACAGUGGUGCUGUAACCGAUCUGCCGUGAGGAAGCUGCUUCCCCUUCAGCAAGGAAAGACCGGAGGGACCCCCACCCCCAUCUCCUCCACGCAGGGCAGGAGGGGUGUGGGCAGCACCUGGAUGGGGGAGAUGGGGCCCAGGGACAGCCCUCUGCAAACUGUGCCUGGGGGCGGAUCAAAGUGCUCUGCACUUGGCAACUGCCGGCAGCAUCCCCUUCAUCUCGGGGGGUUUCCUGUUCAAGCGGCUCGCCCUGCCCACAUGAAGGGAGCGCCUGUUCCGAGGUAUGUUCGCGUGUUUGCGCAGUUGUGUCAUUUACAUUGGCCAUAUGUUAAUGGUAUGUACCCAAGAGCUGGUCUUCUAUUAGAAGAGGGCUAUCCAUCAGUGCUUCUGGGAAGCAUACAAGCGGACAGAGUUUUCAAAGGGCAUGCCUCACUGAACGUACAUUCCUCGAGCUCGUCUAUAAAAAGAUUUUCAGGCACGCAUUCCGCACUUGGUCUUAAUUUUCUGUUGAUUUCCAAACUCGAGCAAACCGCAAGCAGCUCUGUGGUCUUCUCCACCAGGCUGGUUCUGCAGAUGUAGAAGCAGUGAGAGACCUUCUCCUAAAUCAGAAUUACGUGCAGCCAAGGAAGGGCAAAGGGACCGGUGCAAUGCAGAUUUGCACAUCAUCCCGAUAAGCCAUCGUGGGACGGACGUCAGCGCCGCGCUGGUGAGCAGAGUCUGUCACACAGGCAUCUAAGAACACACGGCAUGGGACACGGUGUGCUCUCUGGAGGGGCCUUGCUUAUGGUCGUUGGUUCUCAGCGCAUGAUUUCUCUGCCAACGGAACGAAAGUCAUUCAUUUUGGGGGCCAGGUGUUCCUCACUCAGGCACCCCUUGUUCCUUCAUUAAUGUGUCAUCAGAGCCAUAUUUCUGUGUGCAUUUGGACACUGACUUACGUGAUCCAUGAGCCAUAAAGCCCAUCUUGCUAAGAAGAGGAUUUCCCCCAGUCCUGGUCAUUCGCCUUUCGUCUUCUUUGUCCCCGCUCCCUUGCUAGGAGUAGGGAAACCUGCUUUGCUGGUCGGCAGCUCACCAGUCCCUUCAAGGUGGCAAGCAGGGCGUAGGUCGUAAGCCCUCCGAAGCAGGGGUUCCACCCAGCCCGCCCUAAAAGGGAGUUUGAGAACCGGGGGAGCGUGAGACUUUCGGCAAGCAUCCUCGCGCUUGCUCUUCACACCGAGGGUGCAAGGCAGGCCGCAGCGGGCUGUGGGGUUAGCAACGGGAACCCCGUGGCCUCCGCUCGUGCUGCGGCCUUACAGAGAGUGUGCACGUGUCGAGUGAGCAUUGCACACAGGAGCGAGAGAGUCCUGGCAUCAGGGCACGAGGGCACUCACUGGCGGUGUCCACGCGUUUUCACAAAGUCAACAGCUGCCCCGUACGAAGCUUUGACGAUUCCAAUGUCCCCCUGUGGCGUCUGAUUUUCUUCAAGUGCGACACGGUUUGUCUUCAGAACCACAUGGAGUCCUCCUGACCACACGGCGCUCAGGGGCUCACUUCAUUAUCCUGCGGCCUGAAACAUGCCUUCAAGGCUGAUCGUUACUUUUAACAAAGAAGCUAAACUGUCCACGGCAUUUCCCCCCUCCUCCCUCUCCCUGUCGUUUCCCCCCUCCCCUCCCCUCCUCUUCCCUCUCUCCCCUCUUCCGAGGGUCUCCUAACAGGAGCCCAGGUAGGGAGAAGAGGCAGCUGUCCUGCCUGCUGCAGCGGGCGGGGCCCGUGACGCCCUGGCAGCACACGCAAGCUCGGUACACGCCAGCUGGCGCAUCACUCUUGCAGCCUCGGUGGUAAACACGCAGUUCCAUUUGGUCUCGCGGACUCGUGGGCCGUCUUAAUGGUUCUUUCUGAGUUCGCAUCAGUCACGGGAAGCACCAGGUACAGCUGUUACCGCCUUCUCUGUAAUUCUACCUCGCUCAAAGUCUCCACUGUGUCAUUGUAGCCGGGGACAGGUCAGUGCCAGAGCUGUAUGUCCCCUGAUUCAUGCCCCUUUACUGUUUUCUUGGUGACUUAAAAUCGACAUGAAUAUGUGCUCCAGCUCUCGGUCUUGGUAUGACGUUCCAUGUAGCAGCAGUUAGCAAAUCAUCUAUUAGGAUUCUCUCAGUACUUCCGUGGUGGGGGUGUGUGUGUGUGUGUGUGUGCACGCGCGCACCUGAGGAAUCCGGUUCUCUCGAUACACUCGUGGACAUGCAGACAAUCUUCCCAGCUUUCAGUGUGCAGAAACCGACAUCCUGAUGGGGUUACUGUGUUAUAAAACAUUUACUGGUGAUGUUUAGGAUCAGUCUUAAUGUGAACUGAUAAAUUUCGGAGAAUUUACAUAGUUUCAAUAGGAUACCGCAAAAUUAUUUAGAAAAUAUCUAGACUUAUAAAGUUUCGUGCUAAUAGAGAGCCAGUGCUGUGGCAUAGCAGGUAAAGCUGCCACCUGCAGUGCCGGCAUCCCAUAUGGGCAACGGUUUGAGUCCUGGCUGCUCCACUUCCGAUCCAGCUCUCUGCUGUGGCCUGAAAAAGCAGGAGAAAAUGGCCCAAGUCCUUGGGCCCCUACAACCGCAUGGAAAACCUGGAAGAAGCUCCUGGCUCCUGGCUUCAGAUCGGCACAGCUCCGGCUGUUGAGGCCAUCUGGGGAGUGAACCAGUGGAUGGAAGAUCUCUCUCUCUCUCUUUCUCUCCCACCCUCUUUCUCUCUCUCUCUCUCUCUGCCUCUCCUCUCUCUGUGUAACUCAAGUAAAUAAAUAAAUCUUUAUAAAUGUUUAGUACUAACA